UACGUAGGGGGCAAGCGUUGUCCGGAAUCAUUGGGCGUACAGCGCGUGUAGGCGGUUCAGUAAGUCUGCUGUGAAAGUCCAGGGCUCAACCCUGGGAUGCCGGUGGAUACUGCUGGACUAGAGUGCGGAAGAGGCGAGUGGAAUUCCCGGUGUAGCGGUGAAAUGCGCAGAUAUCGGGAGGAACACCAAUUGCGAAGGCAGCUCGCUGGGACGUUACUGACGCUGAGACGCGAAAGCGUGGGGAGCAAACAGG
rnacentral:rRNA from 1 species